UACGUAGGGUGCGAGCGUUAAUCGGAAUUACUGGGCGUAAAGGGUGCGCAGGCGGUUAUAUAAGACAGAUGUGAAAUCCCCGGGCUCAACCUGGGAACUGCGUUUGUGACUGUAUGACUAGAGUACGGUAGAGAGGGGUGGAAUUCCUGGUGUAGCAGUGAAAUGCGUAGAUAUCAGGAGGAACACCGAUGGCGAAGGCAAUCCCCUGGGCCUGUACUGACGCUCAUGCACGAAAGCGUGGGGAGCAAACAGG
rnacentral:rRNA from 1 species